AACUUUUUAAAAUGAAUGAUGAUUAAGGGUCCUCCACAUCCCGUGACUUUUUAUAAACAUACGUUAAAACAUGGAGAAUUAAUUGUCUUGUGAAAUUAUUCACUAGUAUGUAAGUUGAAUUGUUUGUCUAGAUUUAUAGCUAAGUGAGUAGGACUUCAGACUACUGCCCUUUAGAUCUUGGGUUCAAUUGAGUCUGGGACUUUUGAUAUGAAUGCCAGUGAAUAUUUGAAAAGUAUGUUUUUAAUCAAAAAUUGUUAUUUUUAUUGUCAAUGGUACACAUGCAAGGAUGUCACAUCUUUAAAUAAUACGCAAUUUUGUGUUCAUUUGAGAUAAAUUUCCAAACGAUGUGGAGGACCCUUAUUACAAGCUCUUCCUUGCACUAUUUACAAGUACAACAAAAUUGCCAGAUGGAAAAGUGCCAUGACUUUCAAUAAUUUCACACCUUUUUUUUCUACAUUCAUACAUUCCAUAUAGUGAUAAAGGAAACCAUUUAUUUUCAUUGUGAAAUUUUCAAGCAUGUGAUAUACCACUAUCAGCAUGCUACACUGUAUUAUUUAUUUUCUCUGUAUCUAAUGCAUUGUACAUGUAAAAGCCUUUGAAGUAUUUUCUCCAUUCCACUAUUUGAUAACUUGGAACAUACUUAAUACAUGUAGUUUGUUAGAAAAAAAUGAGAAUGUCAGUCAAAUGACAUAAUUUCAUUUAUAUACAGUAGAUUGUUAUGAUGUCAUGAAUAUCAAAUAUUUAUAUACAUGUAGGCCUACCUGUGUAAUUAAUUAUUAUGUGACUUAUUAAACAUAUUCAUGCAUUUU
rnacentral:sRNA from 1 species